CUACAAAUUAAAUACAUUUAUUGAG
rnacentral:snRNA from 1 species